CGAGUCGAGCGGUAGAGUGACUUCGGUUGCUUGAGAGCGGCGCACGGGUAGUAACGCGUACAUGACCACCUUUAAGACUGGGAUAGCCCUGGGAAACUGGGAUUAAUACCGGAUGUGAUAAUAGAUAUAAGGAUUUAUUAUUAAAGUUACGGCGCUUAGAGAUGGAUGUGCGUCUGAUUAGCUAGUUGGUAGGGUAACGGCCUACCAAGGCUACGAUCAGUAGGGGCGUGAGAGCGUGACCCCCCACACAGGUACUGAGACACGGACCCGACUCC
rnacentral:rRNA from 1 species